GCUCAGGACGAACGCUGGCGGCGUGCUUAACACAUGCAAGUCGAACGAUGACGGGGAGCUUGCUCCUCUGAUUAGUGGCGAACGGGUGAGUAACACGUGAGUAACCUGCCCUUGACUCUGGGAUAAGCACUGGAAACGGUGUCUAAUACCGGAUACGAGCUUCAGCCGCAUGGCUAGGAGCUGGAAAGAAUUUCGGUCAAGGAUGGACUCGCGGCCUAUCAGCUAGUUGGUGAGGUAACGGCCCACCAAGGCGACGACGGGUAGCCGGCCUGAGAGGGUGACCGGCCACACUGGGACUGAGACACGGCCCAGACUCCUACGGGAGGCAGCAGUGGGGAAUAUUGCACAAUGGGCGAAAGCCUGAUGCAGCAACGCCGCGUGAGGGACGACGGCCUUCGGGUUGUAAACCUCUUUUAGUAGGGAAGAAGCGAAAGUGACGGUACCUGCAGAAAAAGCACCGGCUAACUACGUGCCAGCAGCCGCGGUAAUACGUAGGGUGCAAGCGUGUUCCGGGAUUAUUGGGCGUAAAGAGCUCGUAGGCGGUUUGUCGCGUCUGCUGUGAAAACCCGAGGCUCAACCUCGGGCCUGCAGUGGGUACGGGCAGACUAGAGUGCGGUAGGGGAGAUUGGAAUUCCUGGUGUAGCGGUGGAAUGCGCAGAUAUCAGGAGGAACACCGAUGGCGAAGGCAGAUCUCUGGGCCGUAACUGACGCUGAGGAGCGAAAGCAUGGGGAGCGAACAGGAUUAGAUACCCUGGUAGUCCAUGCCGUAAACGUUGGGAACUAGAUGUAGGGGCCAUUCCACGGUUUCUGUGUCGCAGCUAACGCAUUAAGUUCCCCGCCUGGGGAGUACGGCCGCAAGGCUAAAACUCAAAGGAAUUGACGGGGGCCCGCACAAGCGGCGGAGCAUGCGGAUUAAUUCGAUGCAACGCGAAGAACCUUACCAAGGCUUGACAUAUACGAGAACGGGCCAGAAAUGGUCAACUCUUUGGACACUCGUAAACAGGUGGUGCAUGGUUGUCGUCAGCUCGUGUCGUGAGAUGUUGGGUUAAGUCCCGCAACGAGCGCAACCCUCGUUCUAUGUUGCCAGCACGUCAUGGUGGGAACUCAUAGGAGACUGCCGGGGUCAACUCGGAGGAAGGUGGGGAUGACGUCAAAUCAUCAUGCCCCUUAUGUCUUGGGCUUCACGCAUGCUACAAUGGCCGAUACAAAGGGCUGCAAUACCGUAAGGUGGAGCGAAUCCCAAAAAGUCGGUCUCAGUUCGGAUUGAGGUCUGCAACUCGACCUCAUGAAGUCGGAGUCGCUAGUAAUCGCAGAUCAGCAACGCUGCGGUGAAUACGUUCCCGGGCCUUGUACACACCGCCCGUCAAGUCAUGAAAGUCGGUAACACCCGAAGCCAGUGGCCUAACNCAGAUGAGCUGUCGANUGGGAUCGGUGAU
rnacentral:rRNA from 1 species